rnacentral:tRNA from 1 species
GGCCAGGUAGCUCAGUCGGUACGAGCGUCCGCCUGAAAAGCGGAAGGUCGCCGGUUCGACCCCGGCCCUGGCCACCA